rnacentral:rRNA from 1 species
CCGGUGGCGAAAGCGGCUNUCUGGUCUGUAACUGACGCUGAGGCUCGAAAGCGUGGGGAGCGAACAGGAUUAGAUACCCUGGUAGUNCACGCCGUAAACGAUGAGUGNUAGGUGUUGGAUCCUUUCCGGGAUUCAGUGCCGCAGCUAACGCAUUAAGCACUCCGCCUGGGGAGUACGACCGCAAGGUUGAAACUCAAAGGAAUUGACGGGGGCCCGCACAAGCGGUGGAGCGUGUGGUUUAAUUCGAAGCAACGCGAAGAACCUUACCAGGUCUUGACAUCCCGAUGCUAUUUCUAGAGAUAGGAAGUUACUUCGGUACAUCGGUGACAGGUGGUGCAUGGUUGUCGUCAGCUCGUGUCGUGAGAUGUUGGGUUAAGUCCCGCAACGAGCGCAACCCCUAUUGUUAGUUGCCAUCAUUCAGUUGGGCACUCUAGCAAGACUGCCGGUAAUAAACCGGAGGAAGGUGGGGAUGACGUCAAAUCAUCAUGCCCCUUAUGACCUGGGCUACGCACGUGCUACAAUGGUUGGUACAACGAGUUGCGAGUCGGUGACGGCGAGCUAAUCUCUUAAAGCCAAUCUCAGUUCGGAUUGUAGGCUGCAACUCGCCUACAUGAAGUCGGAAUCGCUGGUAAUCGCGGAUCAGCACGCCGCGGUGAAUACGUUCCCGGGCCUUGUACACACCGCCCGUCACACCACGAGAGUUUGUAACACCCGAAGUCG